CUACGGGUGGCUCCAGUGAGGAAUAUUGCACAAUGGGGGGAACCCUGAUGCAGCAACGCCGCGUGGAGGAUGACGCAUUUCGGUGUGUAAACUCCUUUUAUAUGUCAAGAAAAUGACGGUAGCAUAUGAAUAAGCACCGGCUAACUCCGUGCCAGCAGCCGCGGUAAUACGGAGGGUGCAAGCGUUACUCGGAAUCACUGGGCGUAAAGGACGCGUAGGCGGGUUGGAAAGUCAGGUGUGAAAUCCUACAGCUUAACUGGAGAACUGCACUUGAAACUUCUAAUCUAGAGUAUGGGAGGGGGAGAUGGAAUUAGUGGUGUAGGGGUAAAAUCCGUAGAUAUCACUAGGAAUACCUAAAGCGAAGGCGAUCUCCUGGAACAUUACUGACGCUAAGGCGUGAAAGCGUGGGGAGCAAACAGGAUUAGAUACCCUGUAGUC
rnacentral:rRNA from 1 species